CAGCAGCCACGGUAAUACGUAGGGUGCGAGCGUUAAUCGGAAUUACUGGGCGUAAAGCGUGCGCAGGCGGUUCGUUAAGACAGAUGUGAAAUCCCCGGGCUUAACCUGGGAACUGCAUUUAUGACUGACGGGCUAGAGUAUGGCAGAGGGGGGUAGAAUUCCACGUGUAGCAGUGAAAUGCGUAGAGAUGUGGAGGAAUACCGAUGGCGAAGGCAGCCCCCUGGGCCAAUACUGACGCUCAUGCACGAAAGCGUGGGGAGCAAACAGGAUUAGAUACCCCCGUAGUCCCUGUCUCUUAUAC
rnacentral:rRNA from 1 species